GAGGGUUCCAGUUUUGGCAGCAUAAGUUGGUGUGUGAUAUUGUAUGCUUGUUCUGGUGUGUUUGGGCUGAAUAUGCCCUGUUUUACUAGUACUGUUGGGAGGAUAAAGUUUGUCUUGUGAUAGUAGUUUUGUGUAUGAAAGAUAUGAAAGUAAAUUCUAUCUCGGGUAUCAUUUGGGCAAAAGCCAAAUGCGCCCUAGCCCUAAUAGGCUUGUAAAAAGUCCGGGAAUCCUCAUUUAAAUUGAUAUUUGAGGCUUCUUUUCCCUUUCCUGUCCUCU
rnacentral:misc_RNA from 1 species